rnacentral:rRNA from 1 species
GCAUAAGAGAGGUAGUGACAAGAAAUAACAAUACAAGGCAAUUAAAAUGCUUUGUAAUUGGAAUGAUAGAAAUUUAAACACUUUUUAAAGUAUCAAUUGGAGGGCAAGUCUGGUGCCAGCAGCCGCGGUAAUUCCAGCUCCAAUAGCGUAUAUUAAAAUUGUUGCAGUUAAAAAGCUCGUAGUUGAAUUUCUGUUAAAAAUAACCGGUCUGCUUUUAUUAAAAGUGGUAUCUUGGUGUGUUUUUAGCAAUAAUGUCCUUUGAAAUGUUUUUUACUUUAUUGUAAUAAGUCAUUAUUUUGAGGAUUUUUACUUUGAGAAAAUUAGAGUGUUUCUAGCAGGCUUACGCUUUUGAAUACUGCAGCAUGGAAUAAUAAGAUAGGAUUUUAGUUCUACAUUAUUGGUUUUAAGAACUAAAUUAAUGAUUGAUAGGGAUAGUUGGGGGCAUUUGUAUUUAACUGUCAGAGGUGAAAUUCUUAGAUUUGUUAAAGACAAACUACUGCGAAAGCAUUUGCCAAAGAUGUUUUCAUUAAUCAAGAACGAAAGUUAGGGGAUCGAAGACGAUCAGAUACCGUCGUAGUCUUAACUAUAAACUAUGCCGACUA